AUUGAACGCUGGCGGCAGGCCUAACACAUGCAAGUCGAGCGAGCGGCGGAGGGGUGAGUAAUGUCUGGGAAACAGCCUGGGGGAGGGGGAUAAAUACAGGAGACAGUAGCUAAUACAGCAUACAAUAUGUUGUGCCCAGCUGGGAUUAGAGAGUCGGUGGGGUAACGGCGCACCUAGGCGACGAUACAUAGCUGGUCUUUGAGGAUGACCAGCCACACUGGAACAGAGACACGGUCCAGACGGCUACGGGAUGCAGCAGGGGGUAAUCUUGAACAAUGGGCGGAAGCCAGAUACAGCGAUGCCGCGUGUGUGAAGAAGGCCUUCGGGUUGUAAAGCACUUUCAGCGGGGAGGCGUUACCCGCAGAAGAAGCACCGGCUAACUCCGUGCGAACAGCCGCGGUAAUAC
rnacentral:rRNA from 1 species